rnacentral:sRNA from 1 species
UUCAGUGAAUCACAGACUAAGUACGCCACGUCUUCAUGUCUUCGUCUGUGUGAUCCACAUCCUGUGGG